GUAGGGCCCAAGCGUUGUCCGGAUUUAUUGGGCGUAAAGAGCUCGUAGGCGGUUCGGUAAGUCGGGUGUGAAAACUCAGGGCUCAACCCUGAGACGCCACUCGAUACUGCCAUGACUAGAGUCCGGUAGAGGAGCGUGGAAUUCCUGGUGUAGCGGUGAAAUGCGCAGAUAUCAGGAGGAACACCGAUAGCGAAGGCAGCGCUCUGGGCCGGUACUGACGCUGAGGAGCGAAAGCGUGGGGGAGCAAACAGGAUUAGAUACCCUGGUAGUCCACGCCGUAAACGUUGGGCACUAGGUGUGGGUUCCAUCCAACGGAAUCCGUGCCGUAGCUAACGCAUUAAGUGCCCCCGCCUGGGGAUACGGCCGCAAGGCUA
rnacentral:rRNA from 1 species